rnacentral:rRNA from 1 species
UCGGGAAUUUUGGGCAAUGGAGGGAACUCUGACCCAGCCAUGCCGCGUGCAGGAUGAAGGCGUUAUGCGUUGUAAACUGCUUUUAUAUAGGAAGAAAUAGUCCUUGCGAGGAAAGUUGACGGUACUAUAUGAAUAAGCACCGGCUAACUCCGUGCCAGCAGCCGCGGUAAUACGGAGGGUGCAAGCGUUGUCCGGAUUUAUUGGGUUUAAAGGGUGCGUAGGCGGUUUAUUAAGUCAGUGGUGAAAGACGGUCGCUCAACGAUUGCAGUGCCAUUGAUACUGGUAGACUUGAGUAUGAUUGAGGUAGCUGGAAUGGAUAGUGUAGCGGUGAAAUGCAUAGAUAUUAUCCAGAACACCAAUUGCGUAGGCAAGUUACUAAGUCAUAACUGACGCUGAGGCACGAAAGUGUGGGUAUCAAACAGGAUUAGAUACCCUAGUAGUCCCUGAGCGGGCUGGCAAGGCGCAU